GGAGUUAGCCGGUGCUUCUUCUGUGAGUGAUGUCCUUCCUGCCGGCUAUUAACCCGCAGGCCUUCUUCCUCACUGAAAGUGCUUUACAACCCGAAGGCCUUCUUCACACACGCGGCAUGGCUGGAUCAGGGUUGCCCCCAUUGUCCAAUAUUCCCCACUGCUGCCUCCCGUAGGAGUCUGGGCCGUGUCUCAGUCCCAGUGUGGCUGAUCAUCCUCUCAGACCAGCUACGGAUCGUCGCCUUGGUGAGCCGUUACCUCACCAACCAGCUAAUCCGACAUAGGCUCAUCCGAUAGCGCGAGGCCCGAAGGUCCCCCGCUUUCCCCCGUAGGGCGUAUGCGGUAUUCGCCUGGGUUUCCCCAGGUUAUCCCCCACUACCGGGCAGAUUCCUAUGCAUUACUCACCCGUCCGCCGCUCGCCACCAGGGAGCAAGCUCCCCGUGCUGCCGCUCGACUUGCAUGUGUUAGGCCUGCCGCCAGCGUUCAAUCUGAGCCAUAAUCAAACUCUGA
rnacentral:rRNA from 1 species